GAUGAAGAACGUAGCGAAAUGCGAUAAGUAAUGUGAAUUGCAGAAUUCAGUGAAUCAUCGAAUCUUUGAACGCACAUUGCGCCCGCCAGUAUUCUGGCGGGCAUGCCUGUUCGAGCGUCAUUUCAACCCUCAAGACCCCUUCGGGGGACUUGGUGUUGGGGACCGGCACAGGGGCCUGCCUGCUUGUCUUGCAGGGCCCUCGCCGCCCCCGAAAUGAAUUGGCGGCCUCGUCGCGGCCUCCCCUGCGUAGUAGCACAACCUCGCAACGGGAACGUGACGGCGGCCACUGCCGUAAAACAACCCCAAUUUUAUUAGAGUUGACCUCGAAUCAGGUAGGAAUACCCGCUGAACUUAAGCAUAUCAAUAAGCGGAGGA
rnacentral:misc_RNA from 1 species